rnacentral:rRNA from 1 species
AGCGGACCGACGGGAGCUUGCUCCCUUAGGUCAGCGGCGGACGGGUGAGUAACACGUGGGUAACCUGCCUGUAAGACUGGGAUAACUCCGGGAAACCGGGGCUAAUACCGGAUGCUUGAUUGAACCGCAUGGUUCAAUCAUAAAAGGUGGCUUUUAGCUACCACUUGCAGAUGGACCCGCGGCGCAUUAGCUAGUUGGGGAGGUAACGGCUCACCAAGGCGACGAUGCGGAGCGGACCUGAGAGGGUGAUCGGCCACACUGGGACUGAGACACGGCCCAGACUCCUACGGGAGGCAGGAGUAGGGAAUCUUCCGGAAUGGACGAAAGUCUGACGGAGCAACGCCGCGGGAGUGAUGAAGGUUGUCGGAUCGUAAUACUCUGUUGUUAGGGAAGAACAAGUACCGUUGGAAUAGGGCGGGACCUUGACGGUACCUAACCAGAAAGCCACGGCUAACUACGUGCCAACAGCCGCGGGAAUACGUAGGUGGCAAGCGGUGUCCGGAAUUACUGGGCGUAAAGAGUGCGCGGGUAGUUUCUUAAGUCUGAUGUGAUAGCCCCCGGCUCAACCGCCG